UACGGAGGGUGCGAGCGUUGUCCGGAAUCACUGGGCGUAAAGGGCGCGUAGGCGGUUUGGUAAGCGUGCGGUGAAAGCCCGGGGCUCAACCCCGGGUCGGCCGUGCGGACUGCGAGACUGGAGCACUGUAGAGGCGGGUGGAAUUCCGGGUGUAGCGGUGGAAUGCGUAGAGAUCCGGAAGAACACCGGUGGCGAAGGCGGCCCGCUGGGCUGUUGCUGACGCUGAGGCGCGACAGCGUGGGGAGCAAACAGG
rnacentral:rRNA from 1 species